UGGAUAGAUUAUUGUAUUCGACUUUAUUCACUGAGUGAAAUAGGGGAAUAUACUGUUUUUAAACAGAAAAUGAAUCAAUUAACAUAAUAGACUCCU
rnacentral:pre_miRNA from 1 species